CUCUUAUCAAGAGCGGCGGAGGGAACGGCCCGAUGAAGCCCGGCAACCGGGGCGCUUCGCCCGGCAGGUGCCAACUCCGGAAGGACAGCCGUCCUUCGAGAUGAGAG
rnacentral:ncRNA from 1 species